CCUACGGGAGGCAGCAGUGGGGAAUAUUGCACAAUGGGGGAAACCCUGAUGCAGCGACGCCGCGUGAGUGAAGAAGUAUUUCGGUACGUAAAGCUCUAUCAGCAGGGAAGAAAAUGACGGUACCUGACUAAGAAGCCCCGGCUAACUACGUGCCAGCAGCCGCGGUAAUACGUAGGGGGCAAGCGUUAUCCGGAUUUACUGGGUGUAAAGGGAGCGUAAACGGCAGCGCAAGUCUGGAGUGAAAUCCCAUGGCUUAACCAUGGAACUGCUUUGGAAACUGUGCAGCUAGAGUGCAGGAGAGGUAAGCGGAAUUCCUAGUGUAGCGGUGAAAUGCGUAGAUAUGAGGAGGAACACCAGUGGCGAAGGCGGCUUACUGGACUGUAACUGACGUUGAGGCUCGAAAGCGUGGGGAGCAAACAGGAUUAGAUACCCUGGUAGUC
rnacentral:rRNA from 1 species